GAAUACAGGAAGCAUUUUUUGUAAGUAAAGCUACUACCAAGUAGUUGCUAUGGUAACUCAAUGUAGCUUGUUACCCAAGUUUCAUGUUUCAUGAAACGGAAAUCUGAAAAAAGGAAAAGAAAUCAACCACUCCUCUCAUAGAUUCAAAUCAACGAGGGACCUAAAGAAGCAGACUACUGCAAAGGAAUUGAACAUGUCAAGAAAAAUCAGCUUCUGUGUAGCUGCGUGCCUUAUUCUGACCUCGGUGUAUGCUGCACGGAGAAGUCUGAACUCCAUCACUGAUCUGAUUGACUGCCACCUCUCUGAGCACACAAACAUUUUAGAGCUGCUACACUGGUUUGCCCAUGAAGUCGACAUUGAUCACCACAUCCGCCUUACCUUUGACCCCUCCUCUGAUUAUGGCUCACAUCAUUAUGGAAAUUUUGAAGACAUGCUAGAUCAACUGCCUUGGGGGUAUCAAUACUAUACAAUUGGUAAUCUUUAUGAAGACGAUUCCGACUCGCUUCCAUCCUACGUAAGAAAUCCCCACAGGGGGAAUAUUGAUGACAACAACAAAGCUCGGAUCAUAAUCAGAGUGGAAGAAGGACACUCGGGACCUCGCCCUGGACAGAUAAUAGAUCAGGUGUACAUCACUCAGCACUUUGAUACAUCUGACGAAGGAACAAAUUAUGAUCCAGAUCAUACAUACAGAAUCACACCCAGCCUUUUACACGCAAUAAGACGGAGAAACAUUACUGAAAUUCAACAACUUGCCAGAAGGUCCUAUAGAGAGAAUGCUUCUGCCCGUCCACAAGGACAUCCCACUUCAUAUAGCCAACAAGCUCGAUAUAAUCCAAGUACAAAAAACAAUGAUGACUUCCUGAAGAAAUUCUGCUUUGCCAUUCUUGUGAUCAUUAUUUUUGCUUUGUUCGCAUGUCUUCAGAACAACUUCAAAUAAGACAAUAUUUCCAGACACUGAGCAGAACUGUAAAUGGGAUGGUUUGCAAAGGGAAAAAAGGCAGAAAAUCCUAAAUCCAAAUAAAGAAAAGUGUGUGUAAAUGUGUCAUUUUUAGAAUUUGGCUGCAGAACUAUAUUUGUGAUAAAGGAAUCAGUGCAAAUUUUAUAUAAAUGUGCUGUAAAUGUAAUUACUAGCUUUUAAAGAAUUUGUGUGAAAUGUUGCAAUAUGUUGCCAUAUGUUGUGCAAUUUAAAAUUUCCGCUUUCAUAUUUUGCACAAUAGUUUCAGAGGCUCUUCUCUUAAGAAUUUGUAUGAGGAUUUGCAAACCUGUAUUAAAAUUAUUUUUUAAAUAUGAAGAAAUCACUACAA